rnacentral:rRNA from 1 species
UACGAAGGGGGCUAGCGUUGCUCGGAAUCACUGGGCGUAAAGGGUGCGUAGGCGGGUCUUUUAAGUCAGGGGUGAAAUCCUGGAGCUCAACUCCAGAACUGCCUUGAUACUGAAGAUCUUGAGUAUGGGAGAGGUGAGUGGAACUGCGAGUGUAGAGGUGAAAUUCGUAGAUAUUCGCAAGAACACCAGUGGCGAAGGCGGCUCACUGGCCCAUAACUGACGCUGAGGCACGAAAGCGUGGGGAGCAAACAGG